rnacentral:rRNA from 1 species
GACGAACGCUGGCGGCGUGCUUAACACAUGCAAGUCGAACGGAAAGGCCCUGCUUGCAGGUUGCUUGAGUGGCGAACGGGUGAGUAACACGUGGGUGACCUGCUCCUUACUUUGGGAUAAGCCUGGGAAACUGGGCUUAAUACUGGUUAGUACCAUGCUGGAGGUGGUGUGGUGGUAAGAUUUGUUUCGGUAAGGGAUGAGUUCGCGGCCUGUCAUCUUGUUGGUGGGGUAGUGGCCUAACAAGGCGUCGACGGGUCGCCGGCCUGAGAGGGUGGACGGCCACAUUGAGACUGAGAUGCGGCGCAGACUCCUGCGAGAGGCGGCAGUGGGGGAUAGUGCACAAUAGGCGCAAGCCUGGUGCAGCGACGGCGCGUGGAGGAUGAAGGCCUUCGGGUUGUGAACACCUGUCGGCAGUGACGAAGCCCUUGUGGUGACGGUAGUGGUAGAAGAAGCACCGGCUAACUACGUG